GCUCACUUCGGCAGCACAUAUACUAAAAUUGGAAUGAUACAGAGAAGAUUAGCAUGGCCCCUGCGCAAGGAUGACACACACAAUAUAUAUAUAUAUAUAUAUAUAU